ensembl:lncRNA
AAUCAACCCCCACUCUGUCUCCGUUUUUAUUAAUUUAAUUAUUUCUUUGCCUCGCGGCACACGAAGCCUCACCCGAGCCCUGACAUCGCGGCGCCCGCGUCAGCGAACCACGGAACUUGGGCCCGAGACAAUGGCCCGUAAUUGAUGCCACAGAGGGAAAGAAAACAAACAAGAAAUUAGCGGGGGACGCUGCGCACAGAGCCAGACGCCCGCCUCCACGCCGUCGAGGACGAAAAAGAACGAAAAAAGUUAUUAAAGUUUGGAUCCCCCAAUUAAUUCGUCUCUGCUCCCCUAUUUUAAAUUAAACAUUGCAAAGCUGCUUUUGCGUGUUGCAUUUCCUUUGGUUGGUUGUUUUGGUGCUUUGGGGGGAGGGAAAUCUUUUUUUUCCCCUUAAUCUUAAUCACACAUAAAGCAAGGAACGAACUCGUGUGAAGCUAUUCCCGCGAGCUUCCCGCAGCGCACGCGGCGCGCACCGGGAAGCAGGGUUUGCGGGAUCGCCAGCUCGGCUCGGUUCUCGGCAGCACGCGGUGCCCGGAGGCCCGGACUUUCAAGCAGCCAAGAUUGUUGGAGACAGAUGCGGGCGGCUCCAAACGCGGGCAUAGUUGGAGAAACGAGUGUGCAAGUGCAUACGGACGCGUUCGUGUACCUAGGAGAGUGCGAGUUGGGGUGUUUGCGAGGACCACAGUUUGCGAGGUGGGAGGUGGGUGCGGGAUUUACACGUGCUCCUGUACACUUUCCCGGGGGUCUGGGGGAAGCGAGCCGCUCGCACCCCGGGAGCACGCAGAUCCAUCUUUGCCGAGAGAUCUCUUUAAAUAUUCAGUGAGAAAUAAUGGCAUUUGAAGCACCACCUAUGGAAACAUUAUUAUCUUCAUUCUUCAACAUCAGCCCCACUGAUAGCUUCGUUUGUCUUUUUAUCAAAAUCUACUGUAACCAACAGGACCUGAGGAGAGAGGGAAAGACAGGCGAAGAGGGUGUGUGAAUGUGUGUAUUAGACACCAACCGAGGGCAGAAAAGAGGAAAAGUAAGAGGGAUAAGAGAAAAAGUGAAGAAGGGGCGAAAAAGGAAAAAGGAGGAACGGAGAAGUUACACCAAGAAAAAAAGUCGGCAGGAGAAAAACAGAAACAUUCACCCGCACACCAAAGACUUAGAUUAAAAAAGACCAAAGAAGCUAAGAGAGAAAGAGCUAUUUGGG